CUGGUGGUCCUUCUCAAAGUUCUGCAGCAACCCCAACAAGCCGUGGUAGUUCACUGCAGGCUUUGUCAUUCAAAAAUGAGUAAGGAAGGGGAGGAAGGACUUGGGCAAAGAAUUAAGGAUCGCAUCCUUAUCGAGCUGCUCGUGCAAGGGAAAGCCCAGUUUACUUAGGCGCUCAAUCAUUUCGAUCAUGUACAGUACAUGAUCAGUGACUGAGGCCCCAUCCCUCAUCCGAGCAUUGAAAAUGGCACAACUAGUUUUGUGCCUUUCAACGUCAUCAGGCAUGUCAAAGGAGUCG
rnacentral:lncRNA from 1 species